AAUUAUAAAGUAAAGCUCAGCUCUAAAUGAGACUGAGACAGAUCAAGGAAGAAGAGGCUAUUGUAAAAAAUUGGACUUCAAGAACUCACUUCAAGUUCUGCCUCUGACACCGCUGACCAGGCAAAUUCCUUCCCCCUCUAGGUCUUUGGGUCCCCUUCUGUAAAACGAAGGAGUUGGGUUCAGUGGCUUUCAAGCCCGCUUGAUUCUCUAUCUAUGAUAAUCUCCUUUUUGGAGCAAGUGAUUAUUUGAGCUGCGCUUUAAAGAUCCCAAAUAAUUUCUAAUCCAAAGAAAAUCUCCAGGUCAAGGAAGGAUCGGCCCUUAAGACGACUAGAUCUUCCUGGGGAAAAGUUGAGUCCAGUGAGAAGUUGCUCAUGUCCAGCCAGGCUGAGAACCAGGAACCCUGAGCUGGAGCUUGGAAAGAUCCUGGAGGUCGUCCCUGCUUCUCUUCCUUCUCCUCCCUGACCCCAUCUUCCAGCCAUGACCUCACCCUUCUCACCCUCACUCAGACACCGAUCUUGUUCCUCUUUUGCUAGACAGUCAGUGGUACCAGCCCGGCCCGUCUCCAACUCUCGGGAAAGGUAUGAAUCUCUUUCUGAGAAGAGAUGCCUCAGAUCUCCGAUCACAAUCCAUCCAUGCUGCAAAUACAUCAGUUAAACAACAACAGCGCCCAGGAAUGAGUAGCACCUUCUUCAGUCCCUAACUUCUGAGCUGAGAUGGACCUGAGGAGGGGGAACUGACCUUCGGCAAAUCCCUCGAUGCCUUCAGGGAGCCGGGACUUGCCAGAUAAACCUCAUUUCUAUUUUUUGACUUUACUAAACCGGUAGUUUUUCUUUAUGUGAUGGGAUGGGCUCUAGACCAGCUCCUUCAAGGGCCAGGUUUGGGCACCUCGGGCUUUUCUGGAGCCGGGAAGGACUGGGAAUCUCUCUUCUCUGCACUGGAUCAGCCCAUACAAGACAAGGAUUUAAUCCCAGAAAUGGGGCAGGCAAAAUAAUGUGAGCGAUGAUGCAGUGUGAAUGAUGGGAUUUGGGGAAAGUGGGAAAUGAGGUGACACGGGAUCCAUCUCUGUCAGGCAAAGGGAAGGGGAACUUAAUGCAACAGGGAGUCAUUGAAUAUUCUCAAGCAGGAGAGGAACCACUCUUGGAGUACUUAAAGCAACCACUGACGUGCAAAAUGGAGACAGAGGCCAAGGAAAGGUGCGGAUGGGCCCCUGGAGCAACUGGAAACAGUCCACUCCUGGCACUGACACUUUCCCAAAGAGUGAUGAUGAUGUUGGGGUAACUGAGGCAGACAAAGGUGAGCGGCUCGCCCAGGAUCACUUAAGUGAGCAAGUCUGGACUUAUCUCCAGGCUCAGCGCUCUGUCCACUGUGUCCUCUGGGACUGAACAUGACCUUGGGGAUCCCCUGGAUCUUACUCCACAGGAAUAAGGAGCAACCACAACAACAAUAAAGUUCUCUGGCUGCUUCAGGCUGACCGAAGGCUCCUCCCAGCAGCCCCAGCGGUUGGUCCCUGGCCCCAAUCACAGAGGGCUGGACGGAGCAUUGGGUCCCGGCCCCCGGGCUGGCCUUCUCCCCCUUUGUCCCCUGGCCACCUGCCUCUCCCCCCCACGGCCCUGACCUUGCCCCAUGUGCUGUGCCGGGCCCGGCCUCUCCCUGAGCAGCUCUCCCAUGUGGCCGCCAAGGCGGUGACAGAAAGGGCCACUUCUUCCUGUUAGGAGAGGGCUGGGGCAGGGGCCGGGCCUUCUUUCCCCGAGGAACAGGAAAGGCAGGUUGGGCCCGGCCUUGGGCUGGCACGGAGCUGGGCACGGCUGGCCGGGGGCAGU